rnacentral:rRNA from 1 species
GACGAACGCUGGCGGCGUGCUUAACACAUGCAAGUCGAACGGAGUGGCGAACGGGUGAGUAACACGUGGGUGAUCUGCCUUGCACUUCGGGAUCAGCUUGGGAAACUGGGUCUAAUACCGGAUAGUGCAAGAUGAGCUCGCGGCCUAUCAGCUUGGUGUUGGGGUAAUGGCCUACUAAGGCGUCGACGGGUAGCCGGCCUGAGAGGGUGUACGGCCACAUUGGGAAUGGGAGACGGCCGAGACUCCUACGGGAAGCAGCAGUGGGGAAUAGUGCACAAGGGGCGGAAGCCUGAUGCAGGGACGCCGCGUGGGGGAGGAAGGCCUUCGGGUUGUAAACUCCUGUCGCCAGGGACGCGGUACCUGUAUAAGAAGCACCGGCUAACUACGUGCCAGCAGCCGCGGUAAUUC